CUCCCCCGCCGGACGACGACUGUUGCUAAGGACGCAUUUACAAAGCAAGAUGGCUGCUGUCAAAAACAAGGCAUGGAAAACUCUUGAUGAAAGAUGGAAGUUAUUACGAGGGGGAAAUAGAGGGGAACCGAUGAAGGUUCUGGGCAAAAACAGGUGAAAACGGCAGAGUCAUACAAAUAUCAGCUGCUGUCAGACUUUGUGAUCUCUCCCCAUCGACGACUCCAGCCAGCCUACUGAAGAUGAUGGAAGAUAUGGAGGAACCUCCAACGCCCACACCACUCGGAUCAGACGGGCCGCCACUCUGGGGGAGGGCACCCCCAGCUACCUGGAUGGUGAGGGAUGGCGAGAUAGUCACGGCAAGCCAUUUGCCAC